GUGGGACCGCGGAUCAGGUUCAUCAUUUCCUCUUCGUGUUCUCUCGGAUCGGCCAUUUCUACAGAAAUAUGUGACACAUCACUACUAGCACUACUGUGUAUAGUCGACAAGGAAACAAUAUAUAAAACUUGGGUUUAGGGUUUAGGGUUUAGGGCUUAGGGCUUAGAACAUCACUAAAUACAUCACAGAACACUAUAUGUAUACUAUAUGUUAUUAUGUGAAAAAAACUAAAUACACCAUAGAACAUCACUAAUUACAUUAAAGAACAUCGUAUAUAUAUUACGUGAAAAUAAAUAAGAAAUUGGUGACACAUGACUACUAUAAUAUACAUGAAAAUAAAUAAAUAUAUAUGAAUUUGAGCAGAGGCAAUAUUCUAGAUUUAUAAGAAAUUGGUGACACAUGACUACUAGCACUACUGUGUGUACCUGACAAGAAAACAAUAUAUAAAACUAGGGUUUACAACUUAGGGUUUUCCGCAACAGUUUACGGCUAAGGGUUUGGGGUUUACAGCUUAGGUUUCAAGGUUUAGGGUUUACGGCUUAGGGUUUACAUCAUUUGCUAACAAAAGUGGCAUGAUCUGAAUCGGUCACAAAUAAGUGAGAGAGAGAGAGUAUAUGUGUUUAGGGCUUAGGGUUUAGGGUUUAGGGGUUAGGGUUCAGGGGUUAGGGUUUAGGGUUUAGGGCUUAGGUUUAGGGUUUAGUGUAUAUCAUUUGCUAAUAAUUAAAUAUAUCAUAAUUGUACCACUAAUUUAAACCACUAAUUGUACCACUAAUUAUAGCACUAAUAAUUGUACCACUAAUAGAUCCAUCUCGACAUACCUGUAGUUUGAAGGCGGUGAGACGGCGGAGAGACGGUGGUCGGUGCGGAGACUCGACGGGGACUUUGGUGACGACGGCAGAGAGACGUCGAUCUGGAAGAAGAAAGAAAUAAGGAACAAAUAUUAUAUCACAUUUACAUAUUGUGGCACAUGCAUGAAGCACUAAUAUAGAAAAAAACAAAAACUAAUAACAUAGUUUGUCUGUAAUUUACAAGACAAAUCUUUUGAGCUUAUUUAGUUUAUAAUUGGACAAUAUUUGCUACAAACAAACGAAAAUGCUACAAUACCAAAAUAGAAAAUCUUUUCGGAACUAAACAAGGCCUAAGAAAAAAUAUAUAAUGUAAUACAAAUAAUAAUUAGAGCAAAGUAUAGGAAAAAAAAUAAAUACAUGUAACAAAGAAAAAAAUUUAAAGAACAUCGUAUAUAUAUUACGUGAACAGUGGAAUUAGUUUUUAUUUUCGUCUAU
rnacentral:lncRNA from 1 species